rnacentral:rRNA from 1 species
ACGAACGCUGGCGGCGUGGAUAAGACAUGCAAGUCGAACGAGAGAAUUGCUAGCUUGCUAAUAAUUCUCUAGUGGCGCACGGGUGAGUAACACGUGAGUAACCUGCCCCCGAGAGCGGGAUAGCCCUGGGAAACUGGGAUUAAUACCGCAUAGUAUCGAAAGAUUAAAGCAGCAAUGCGCUUGGGGAUGGGCUCGCGGCCUAUUAGUUAGUUGGUGAGGUAACGGCUCACCAAGGCGAUGACGGGUAGCCGGUCUGAGAGGAUGUCCGGCCACACUGGAACUGAGACACGGUCCAGACACCUACGGGUGGCAGCAGUCGAGAAUCAUUCACAAUGGGGGAAACCCUGAUGGUGUGACGCCGCGUGGGGGAAUGAAGGUCUUCGGAUUGUAAACCCCUGUCAUGUGGGAGCAAAUUAAAAAGAUAGUACCACAAGAGGAAGAGACGGCUAACUCUGUGCCAGCAGCCGCGGUAAUACAGAGGUCUCAAGCGUUGUUCGGAAUCACUGGGCGUAAAGCGUGCGUAGGCUGUUUCGUAAGUCGUGUGUGAAAGGCGCGGGCUCAACCCGCGGACGGCACAUGAUACUGCGAGACUAGAGUAAUGGAGGGGGAACCGGAAUUCUCGGUGUAGCAGUGAAAUGCGUAGAUAUCGAGAGGAACACUCGUGGCGAAGGCGGGUUCCUGGACAUUAACUGACGCUGAGGCACGAAGGCCAGGGGAGCGAAAGGGAUUAGAUACCCCUGUAGUCCUGGCAGUAAACGGUGCACGCUUGGUGUGCGGGGAAUCGACCCCCUGCGUGCCGGAGCUAACGCGUUAAGCGUGCCGCCUGGGGAGUACGGUCGCAAGAUUAAAACUCAAAGAAAUUGACGGGGACCCGCACAAGCGGUGGAGUAUGUGGCUUAAUUCGAUGCAACGCGAAGAACCUUACCUGGGCUUGACAUGUAAUGAACAACAUGUGAAAGCAUGCGACUCUUCGGAGGCGUUACACAGGUGCUGCAUGGCCGUCGUCAGCUCGUGUCGUGAGAUGUUUGGUUAAGUCCAGCAACGAGCGCAACCCCUGUUGCCAGUUACCAGCACGUGAAGGUGGGGACUCUGGCGAGACUGCCCAGAUCAACUGGGAGGAAGGUGGGGACGACGUCAGGUCAGUAUGGCCCUUAUGCCCAGGGCUGCACACGUACUACAAUGCCCAGUACAGAGGGGGUCGAAGCCGCGAGGCGGAGGAAAUCCUGAAAACUGGGCCCAGUUCGGACUGUAGGCUGCAACCCGCCUACACGAAGCCGGAAUCGCUAGUAAUGGCGCAUCAGCUACGGCGCCGUGAAUACGUUCCCGGGUCUUGUACACACCGCCCGUCACAUCAUGGAAGCCGGUCGCACCCGAAGUAUCUGAAGCCAACCGCAAGGAGGCAGGGUCCUAAGGUGAGACUGGUAACUGGGAUG